GGACCAGGUCAGGACUCCCGCACCAAUUGGUAGUGGGACUGUUCCUGAGCAAUAUAGCAAGAUCUUGGUUCUUAAAAGUAAUAAUACAGAACAGCUUAUUUCCCUCUGGGAAUGGGCUGGCUCAGGGCUACACAGUGAGGGUGGGGGCAGAGGUGGGCCCCCAGUACUUCCCUUGUUGGGUUGUCUGAGGACCCCUCUGGCCUAGAGGAGACGGAGGAGGACAUCUGGACAGUGAGGAGGAGGAGACACCUUGGCCCAUGGUGAACAUCCCAGAGGACCGGGAGAGCCUGGAGGCCAGGUGAGCCUGACUUUCCCUGUCCCUACUUUGUCACCUUCCUCGGUGGUCCCUCCCAGAUCCCCUUAUGUUCUUGGUUUCCCUGCCUUCUGAUUUCUGUGGACUUUCACUCCUUCUGGGAGCCAGUGGUCAGACACCUUUUCACCUGUGACCAACAGGUGCACACUCUGAGCCCCAAGGGAAGGGGCUGCGCUCCACCUCCCUGCCCCGGUUGUUCUCUGUGUGUCCCUACAAAAAUACUCACCUGUUGUCUUCAGGUGGCAUUUUUCAGUGACGCUGGAGCCAGUGCCCAGGAAGAGCAAAGGGUGUGCUGCCAGCCCCUGGCUCACCCAGUGGCUUCAUCCCAGAGGACCCCAGGGACUGGGGGAAAAUACAUCAGCCAGAGGGCAGUGCCAAAGAUGCGGCACUCGGAGAGGAGGACAUCAUCAGGCUGGCCCAGGACCAGGAGACGCAAGUGAACCUGCUGGAGCUGCCGGGGCAGGUGUUGUGGCUUGUGGGUGACCAGAACGAGGGGCAUGACAAAUUCCUGGCCGCUGCCCAGAGUCCUGCUGAGGAGCCCGCUCUAGGAGCCCCAAUCCCCCAGGAGCUUGGGAGUGCUGACAAGCCAGGUGGUGAGUAGAGCGCUCAGGCGG
ensembl:lncRNA